rnacentral:tRNA from 1 species
CGCAGCAGCAGGUCGGGAUCGCGGCCCUGCUGCGGCUGCGGCGGGCCCUCGGAGGUAGGUUCCCGGUUGAUCGUGCCGAGCGCCUGCGGC